rnacentral:lncRNA from 1 species
CCCUGGCCUCUCGCACCGCCCACCGGCCGCUCGUGCUACCCCCGCAACCCCUUGGUGAGGGCUCCACCCCCGUGCUCCUUUUCUUAUUGAACGGCUGGCCACUUGCACUGCCCUCGCAGCCCCUUGAUGAGGGCUACAAUAGCGGCCCGCCGAUCAGCUGGUUUCCAACUGCCGUCGGUCAGAUUGUAGAGGAGGGCGUCGGUUUUGGCCCCCCUCUCCUUUCGCUGCCCAUUGUGAGAAAAAAAUCAUGAAAUUUUUUUGAGGAUAUUUUUGUCCAAAAAAAAAUAUUGCAAGAUUAUCAAAUAUGUGGUAAUCUGGAUAGCCACCUCUCCCCAAGGUAAUCCAGAUUACCUCCUAAGAGGCAAUCUGGAUUGCCAAUAAAACACAUACCAAACGCAGUAAUGUGGUGGGCCCCAUGUUAAAUUACCAGCAAUCUAAAUAGAUUGCCAGCUACCAGACGCAACCUAAGAGACUUGUGCUUAUAUGAUAUUUAGCAAAUAAUGGUGAUUUUCUUUUCAAGCCCUACUUCAACCUAUCUUUGUUGUAUGAGAAUCAUUAUCCCAUCGAGCCUCUUUUCCAUCAAAUAGGAACAGACAUGGAACACAAAGAAAGCUCAACAGAAGGAAUAUAAGGCUAUCUAUAACCGGUUAUUAAUGAAUUGCCAACUUUCUAAGACCGGCAUCAAAUUACUUUCCAAGGCAAUUUUAGGCGGUAGAAUGCAUGAAACCCAAGUAUACUCACCUUGCCUAGGAACGUGACUUGAAAAUUAAGUUGAAUGUUUUUUUUUUCAAUAAUUGAUAAACACCAAUCUUUCCUAUAGAUGCAUUCUGCUUGUACCAACUUCAAUGCAUGAAAGGGAGUGCAUUAACUAUUUCCAUUUCACCUGACAAGC